rnacentral:lncRNA from 1 species
CGGGGGUUUAGCUCAGUGCACCGCGCCUGCCUCGCAAGCGCAAGGUCCUGAGUUCGAUCCCCGAUCUAAAAAAAUAAAUCACACAGCAGCAUCUUUUACAUCUUAACAGUGGAAUGAGAAGCGCUUUGUUUUCUAUUAAAACAGCAACAACAAAACCAGCCCAAGGCUCAGUGUGGACAGCUGUGGAGUACAUUUCCUCCCAGCGCCCUUGACAUUGUUCCACCGGAAGUUGCCUCCUCCCCUCACCCGGAAGCGGAAGCGCAAGCGUGGCUGUUGUUAAUUUGACGUCUCCGGAGCUGCCCGGCCCAGGAUGGUUGGAAGGGACUGCCGCUUUGCUACUACCAGAGCCAAGGGGGCAGGAAUGAGCACACUCCGCCGUUCCGGGACUCCGGAUCUGAACCGCGGCCCUGAAAUGCUCCUCAUCUGUCCCCUGGUUCCGCGAGCCUCGGAGGCAUGGCGGCGCCUCUCCAUGGGCUCCCAGAUCAUGAUGGCAGCAUGGCCUGGCCAUAGGAGAGACGCAGACUGUCAGGCCCACUCCAGCCCCGCUGCACCACAAGCCCAGUGGGGCAGCCUCACGCUCUGGGUUUUAAACAGCUGGGAGGUGAGUCUGCCGCCCGCUACCGUUGGCGCUCGGCUCUUGCUGUCUGCAGCAAGGCGUUGCCCGUCCUUCUCCCGCCUGUCCCGCUGCUGCUUUACCAGGUCGCAUUCUGGUUCCUUCCUCCUUUGUCCCCUACUUGUGUACGUGUGGUACACGUUCAUGCAUUUGUUCCUUGGUGAAACAUCUGAAAAGGGGUCGUCAGUUUGGGGCUGGAUCCAGCAAGACCGACACCCUGAAGGUUAAGCUUCUGUAGGAGCUAAGGAGCAAAAACACCCAGCUUUUUGAGAUGAUGGUAUUUAUUGUGUAGAAAUGAUGGGCCUGAGCAUCUCCUGCUACAAAUGACAAGAUGACAAAAUUAUUUGAUUUUUGUUGUUUUUUGUUUUGUUUUGUUUUGUUUUCAUAAGUACCAGAAAUUGGACUCAGGGCUUUGCACUUGCUAGGCAGGCACAAUGCCACUGAGAUACGUCCCCAGCCCUUUCUAUUGGUCUUAUAUUUGUAAUUUCACAUUUAGGUUUUGGAUUAUCCCAGACUGACCGGUGCCCAAACUCAUCUUCAUUCGCCUCAGCUGUUUCUCUCACCGCUGCAGCCAGUCCUUUGUCAGCCUCUUUCCUGUCGCCGUUCCUUCUCCGGUCCGCGGUCUGCUUCGUCCAAGGGCAGAUCCCCUGACAGUGGGACCUUCAUACUCUGUGUCUCGUCUACAGUCCACCCUACGCAUGGACAAACAUUACACUCCCUCCAGUGCAGCAUUCUCAAAAGACUUCUUCCUUUAGCCGAGCAUGGUGGUACAUGCCUGUAAUUCCCAGCACUCUGGGAAGCUGAGGCAGGAGGAUUCCGAGUUCAAGACCAGCCUGGGCAAUUUAGCAAUUUAGCAACGUCCUGUCUCAAAAAAUGAAAAAGGUUGAGGCUAUAACUCAGCGUGAAGGCCAUGGUUUCAAUCUCAAGUACCAAAAAGAAAAUUCUUUUAAAAAAUAAACUGUCAUUGAUGAGUAAUCAUUUUACAUAUUUAUGGUGUUUAGUGUAGCACUUCAAUUCGUAUUUACAAUUCACAGGGUGAUCAGCGUUUCCAUCUCCUCAAACAUUUAUCAUUUCUAUUUGUGGAGAACUUUGAACUCUUCUCUUCAAACCAAACUUAGCCUGGUCUGGCUUUCCUACUGCCCGAAGAGGGAAGAACUGAGAACCUUCUAACUCUUCUAGCUGUUUUGAGAUACAGAAUACAUUGACACAGACUAUAGUUGCUCCACUGUGUGCUAGAACAUCAGAACGAGUUCUUCCCAUCUAGCUGUCUUUGAGUGCCCUUUGCUUCAGCCUCUUUCUAUCCCUCCCUCUCACCUUCUCAGCUUAUCGUGGCCAUUAUUCUAUUUCCUGCUUCUAUAAAAACAGCCAAAGGCCGGGCGUGGUGGCGUACGCCUGUCAUCCCAGCACUCGGGAGGCUGAGGCAGGAGGAUCGCUGUGAGUUCGAGACCAGCCUGGGCUACAAAGUGAGUUCCAGGUCAGUCUCAACCACAUGGUGAGACCCUGUCUCAAAAAAAAAAAAAAAAAAAAAAAAAGCCGAAGAAUUGGUUCUUUCUCCUUAAAAGUGUGUAUUAACUUAUAUUACCACAAUAUCGCAGUAUAAGGGGUGAUAAAAUGUGUGGUGAAUAUUUAUUGAUUUAUGUUAUUUUAUUUUAUUAGUACUGGGGAUCAAACUCAGGCCCUUGUGCUUACGAGGCAGGGCGUGAAAUGACUGAGCUAAAUCCCCAGUCCCAUUGGUGAAUAUUUAAAUUUUUAAAAUGUAUUACAGUAAUAACCACAUUGUCCUUAAUCCUCCUCAGAACCCUCCCCUCCCUUCAAACACACUUGUUCCACGGCUCUUCCACUUUCUGAAGUGGUUCUGGAGUCUUCUUUCAUGAGUGUCAAAAUUUUCAGUGAAUGCUGUUGCCAAGCGCCGCCCAACAGAGAGGCAGGCUCGUAAAAACAUCCCUGUGUGUCCUUGUCCGUCUCAUUCCUGAGAUCCGGCAGUGGGACGCUUCUGGUUCUUCCUAAGUCCAAAUGACCAGGAAAAGUAAACUUUCCUAGUGGAUUCAGGACAUUGAGGCAGCCACGACAGCAUGACUAGAGACCCUCAUGAAAGAGGACUCCAGAACCGCUUCAGAAAGUGGCAGGAAAGAUGUGAUAAAUGUGUUUGAAGUGAGGGGGUAUUUUGAUGGGGAGGGAUGGCAAUGUGUCUCUUACCAGAAUACUUUUUUAUUUUGGUACCUGGGAUUGAACGCAGGUUGUCCUUGUGCUUGCAAAGCAGGUGGUGGAACCACUGAGCUAAGUCCCCAGCCCUCUAGAAUACAAUUUGUAAAGAUCUAGGUAUUCACUGUAUUGUUUGAUCACACCGUGUAUACCAGAGUGUCCCCCGUCUCAGCGGCUUAUGGCAACAGGUAUCUGUUAUUGCUGAUGUGUUUCUCUGUCCACUGUGGUCAGCUGCUCUGGGCAGCCGGGAGCUCUGUUCCACCACAGCUCUGCAUGCAGCUCUGUUCCACGGCUCUUGUCCUCCUCGCUGUAGUGACUUCCCUAGGACACGCCAUUCUCCCGGGCUUGGCAGCAGGGAAGAGGGCAAGUGAAAGUGCUCAGUGUGCCACCCAAGGUUACACCUGCCUGGAUGUCAGCCUUCAGUGUCUGGUCACUCCCACCCUCGCAGCCCAGGCCCCUCACCUGGGUUCACCAGGCAGGACGGAGCUCAUAGGAAUCUCGUGGAAGCGGGACCAGACCCGGCCAUGCUGGACAGUGGAUUCCCUGGCUUUUGCACUGCCCAGAGACGCGGGAGGGACUGUUUGGGUCCACUUGCUGUUGGUGGUUUGUACAAAAUAAACAGCAAACAAUUUCUCUUCAAUGAAAUAGACUGAACCACAGAUCAUCUUUGUGGCCCUUUCUUCCUUUCUUUGCCUUGGGGAAAAAUAUCUCAAGGAAUUAUUUUCUCCUUAACAAUGGCAACAGUUUAUUCCUGUUGCUUUGACUUGGAUCCUCUUUACUUUCUUUUUUUUCUAGACUGAGAG